AUAGCACCAAUGAUGUUUACAUCCAUAACUCAUCCUUGCACUAUGAGCUUACCAGUGAAGAAAGCAUUGGGGAAUUCGUAGUCUGAGGUGCUC
rnacentral:snoRNA from 1 species